CGAGAAGACCCUAUGGAGCUUUAGACACUAACCAACCACGAAAAGCGACCCUAACUGGAGCCCCAAACAACGUGAUUCUGGCAUAAGUGUCUUCGGUUGGGGCGACCCAGG
rnacentral:rRNA from 1 species